GUCGCCGGAGAACUCUUCCGUUGAUCCACCGGAGCUUCUGGCCACCGCCGGAGCUGCUGCCGGGAUGGUUCAAAAUCGCAGCUGCUUCGUGUUGAAAUUCCGAGCUGUUUAUGCUGCUGCGAAAAUGUGUGGGGCUGUGCUUUGAAGCUGCCUUUGAUUUCGAGUUGAGGCGAAAAGAACUUAUGAGGCGUUUGGGUUAUGGAAUUUGCGUUUUGAGGUAGGGGCGCUUUCCAAAAACUAUGUUUUGUGUAUUGGAAUUAUU